AUUGAACGCUGGCGGCAGGCCUAACACAUGCAAGUCGAGCGAGCGGCGGACGGGUGAGUAAAGUAUGGGGACUGACCGAUAAAGGGGGAGAAAUACUGGAAACGGGAGCUAAUACCGCAUACUAUCAGAUAACCAAUAUGGGAUUAGCUAGUAGGUGAGGUAAUGACUCACUUAGGCGAAGAUCCCUAGCUGGUCUGAGAGGAUGAUCAGCCACACUGGGACUGAGACACGGCCCAGACUCCUACGGAGGCAGCAGUGGGGAAUAUUGCACAAUGGGCGCAAGCCUGAUGCAGCCAUGCCGCGUGUAUGAAGAAGGCCCUAGGGUUGUAAAGUACUUGCAGUCGGGAGGCGUUACCGACAGAAGAAGCACCGGCUAACUCCGUGCCAGCAGCCGCGGUAAUUC
rnacentral:rRNA from 1 species